AAUGAACGUUGGCGGCGUGGAUUAGGCAUGCAAGUCGCGCGAUGAAGCAGUGCUUGCACUGUGGAUUAGCGGCGAAAGGGAGAGUAACGCGUGGAUACGUACCCUCAGGUCCGGGAUAGCGGCGGGAAACUGCCGGUAAUACCGGAUAAUGUCUCCGGACCAAAGGUGUGAUUCCGCCGGAGGAGCGGUCCGCGUCCUAUUAGGUUGUUGGUGGGGUAAUGGCCUACCAAGCCGAAGAUGGUACCGGGUGGUGAGAGCAUGGCCCGGCUCACUGGGACUGAGACACUGCCCAGACACCUACGGGUGGCUGCAGUCGAGAAUCUUCCGCAAUGGGCGCAAGCCUGACGGAGCGACGCCGCGUGCGGGAUGAAGGCCUUCGGGUUGUAAACCGCUGUCAGAGAGGCGGAAAUGCCAUGGGGUUCUCCCCAUGGUUUGACCUAAUCUCAGAGGAAGUGCAGGCUAAGUUCGUG
rnacentral:rRNA from 1 species